rnacentral:lncRNA from 1 species
AGCAAACUAUUUGAGCUGGAAGUCAGUGCUGGCACAGGGGUUAGCAGGAGGUGUUUUAGAAUAAGCCUAUUGCACAUCCAUUAAGUUUAGGUAAGCAUGAGCUGUCAAAAUUUUAAAGCAAUAAACAACCACUAAGAAAAUUUGUUUGAUGAGAUGAGAGCCAAGAAAUUAUACUCAGCUCACUCUAAGUACUCUCCAUCCAUUUCAAGUUUUAACAUCUUCUCUUUCAAAUUUUCGAAACCAAACAUUUUCAAACAUUUGCCCAAAUUUCGUGGUCUUUGCUGCAACCAUCAUCAAUGUGAAUUACUGGGUUGUUUAAGUUGAGCAAGGAAGGGACUGAUCGAAGUAAUUUUAAGAAAAAGAUCAUCUAAUUCAAAGCAAGCUAUAGUAAUCUGAGGAUUCGUAGCAAAGGGAGGUAUGUUUAUUUCAGUAAGCAAAUCAUGAAAUUUUUAGUUUGUUUUGUAUAAAAGGGCUACAAUUGAAUUGUUAAUUGAGAUUGUGAUAAAUGAUUUAUCAAAAAGGAGUAUAGUUGUUAUGGUGAGGAGCAAUAAAUGGGAAAAUUUAUGGCUGGAAACCUACACAAAGCCAUAUGAGAUCUGUUCUAAAAAUACAUGCACAGGACAUGUUUGAUAACUGAUUUCUUAAAGCUAAUAAGCUCAAAAUUAGUAAUUGUAAUAAUAUAUUAAGUAAGAUAACAUUUAUACAUGUUAUAUGAGAUGUAUGGAAUGAAUUUUAUAAAUGAAAUUUGAAUUAAAAAAAUUGUUUUAAAGAGGAUGUACAAUGGAGGUUUGGUUGAAAAAUUGGUGUUUUUGAUGGAGAAACGAAAAUUUAUUACUCCUUAUAUAGAAAGAUGGACACUACUGGACAAGUAUAGCUUAGUUGUGGGCAAUACUUAAAAGGAUUAAAUUGCAUCACAAGCAAGGGAUUGAUGGAUGUGAUAGUAAUUCAAUCUAUUUUUUUUUUGUCGCUGCUGUGGAGAUAUUUAAAGAUUGUCCAGGACCAUCCCACAUGAAGCCAUUAUUAUUAUUGCUACAUCAAAAGUUAGAUAUGUCUUUGUUGAGAUAUCCUUCUCUUAAUGAGCUAAAAUAUACUACAGUUAAUACAAUUUUUUUGUGGAAAGAAUCAAAAGAUACAUGGGGCACAAUGCUAUCUUUGAGGAGGAUACCUUUAUAAGUAUGGGUAAAAAGCGUAACAUAAGGUUUAUACGCAUUCUUAUAUCUUAUGUUUGCACUAUUCAAGUGAAAAGUAACCGAGCUGCAAGAAUGGAUUUUGAUCUAGUUUGCAUAUGGCUGGGUUAGUAAUGUCAAAUGACUAAAUAUUAAGCUGAAAACAACAACUCCGAUACAUAUGUAUAUACAUUCACAAGUGUUAUCUAUUAGAGAUAUUAAACAUGUAAAAUGAACUAAUUAAAACUGUUUUUGGGGGGCUGUUCUUGAGCCAAAAUUUAUGAGGGUAUAGAACUGAAAAUUUUAGUUUUUUAAAGGUGGGUUGUGCUCCUAUUAGUUAUGAAAAUAAUCCAAUUGGAAUGAAUUAAAAAGGAGCUAAAACGAAUUUAUAGUGAAGAUUUUAGUAAAACAUAUUAGAAAUCGAAAAAUUGUGGACUGCUGACCCUAAGGACAAAUUCGGGGCUAGCUAUAUUUUCCAGAAAAUUCUGGCUUUUUGGGGAAGUAUAUUACACUAAAUAAGGAAUCCAUAUCCUCCGGAAUGGACUAAUUCCGACCUCGGAGGAGGGAGUUAUGGCAUUCCAAAGUAAGAGCGGCGAAUCUGUCCAAAAUCUGGAAAUCAGAUUCUGACCAGUCCCUUGCACGAAUUUUUUGGAAUUCUGUAUUUUUAAUUUGGAAAUGCUCAUAGAAUGAAAGUUGUAGCCUCGGAAGUUAGCUUAGCGUGGACUCAAGAAUCGCUCAAAAAUGUUUUGAAACGAAUUAGUUAUGACUGUUUUAGCGAGAGAGGAUAAAGCUAGAAAAAAAAAUCGAAAACUGCUAUGAACGUCAAUUUUUGGCACGCUGUUAAGACUACUUAACAAACCCGAAAUGAGAGGUUAGUAUUUCUUAAAAAUAGUCUUGUAUGCCAUGAAAAAAAAACAUACUAAAAAUGCCUUACGAUUGGAAAAGUAGAUUGCAAGUUUUAAGCCGCGAAGUGGGUGUCAAAGGUGAGGGGCUGCUGCCUUGUGGUAGCAGCAGAUAGCAGCAGUCAUGGGCUGUUCAGCGUGCGAUUUUCCCGCUACGCUUUUGGGUGGUUUUGUGGCUGUUUAACAUGUAACAAAACACCGACAGAGAUGUAUAGAUAUUAUAUAAUGUUAUAUAUCGUGAAACUCAAUUUAAAUGUAAAGAAAGCGAUAGAAAUAUAAUGUAAACGUAAGUUUUCCUAACUAUGCGAGCGUAAUUCGGGAAAUGAUAUGUAGAACGUAUAUGUAGCAUAUUGAAAUGCGCAAAUCCGUUUGAAAUUAUAUUGAACCUAUGAAUGUAAAAACGAAGGGUUUCCGGAGUUCGAAACAAAGAUUUUGAACAUAGAAUUACGUAAUGACAUAUGUAUGAAUUUAAAACAUAUGCGAAGUAAGAAUGUAAAUUAUUCGCGAGAAUAAAUGCGAAGCUAAGUUACUAACGAAAUAAAGCAUUAAUAUACAUGAUAAUAGUGUGGGUUAACACAUGAAUUAUCUCAAAAGCAUAAAAAUUUUGUAAAUUAAAGGAAUGAUGAUAUGAACUAUAUUACGUAAUAAAAGCUAUUCCUAAACCCCUAUGGUCCCGGGUUUAUAAAUAGAGGCAAGAAAUAUUUCAAAAAGGGGAUAUAAAUGGUUUAUGUUUUGAUACAUACGUAAAGUAUUUACAUACUAAAUCCAUGAGAGAACCUUUUUGGGCAUAAAAAGGUUAUAACGGAUAAAAGUUUCUAAAGAAACAUGGAAUGGUUUUAAGACAAAAACAAAAUAUUAUAGUUAAUGUAAAUAAAAUUAGUUUACAUUGAGUAUGUGAAUUUAGUAUGUGAAACUAAUAUGGACAUGUAUGUAUUCUCAAUUUGUGUAGGAUCAUUACAGAGCAGAGAAGUUAUAAACAUUAAACAGCAUCCAAG